AGAGUUUGACUCCGUGGCUCAGAGCGAACGCUGGCGGCGUGCCUAACACAUGCAAGUCGAGCGAACCGUUUGGGGAAACUCGGACGGUUAGCGGCGGACGGGUGAGUAACACGUGGGUAACCCACCUAGGGACCGGGAUAACGGCUCGAAAGGGCCGCUAAUACCGGAUACGCUCCCGGGGGCACAAGCCUCGGGGAGGAAAGGUCGCGCAAGCAGCCACUCCUGGACGGGCCCGCGGCCCAUUAGCUAGUUGGCGGGGUAACGGCCCACCAAGGCAAUGAUGGGUAGCCGGUCUGAGAGGAUGACCGGCCACACGGGGACUGAGACACGGCCCCGGCUCCUACGGGAGGCAGCAGUGGGGAAUCUUCCGCAAUGGGCGAAAGCCUGACGGAGCGACGCCGCGUGGGGGACGAAGGCCUUCGGGUCGUAAACCCCUGUCAGAGGGAAAGAUGGGUACCGGCGUGAACAGCGCCGGUAUUUGACGGUACCCUCAGAGGAAGCCACGGCCAACUCCGUG
rnacentral:rRNA from 1 species